UGUCUGUCUCUGAUGCCAGAUUUGCACUGAAGCCUAGGAAGGCACUGCAAGGAAGAAAGGCCUUGCCUUCUCCUCCAUGACACUUCCAGUGUUCUUCCCUCGGGCAGUCUGAGCCUUCCAGAGCAACCUGGGGAGCCCCAGCUCCCCACAGAGCCCCUCCACGACUCAGCCCUGCAGAGAGAUGCAGGGUCCCACAGCAGCCCACAAAGCCCCACAGGGUCCCCUGCGUGUCCCCAGCUCUCUGAAAUGGCCACAGCUCCCGGCAGCAGGGACAGGAGGGAUCUGGAAGCCUCAACUGCAGGGGUAUGUGCACUGCUGGUCUGUGCUGGUCUGUGCUGUGCUGAGCUGAGCUGUGCUGUGCUGUGCUAUCUGUGCUGUGCUGGUCUGUGCUGGUCUCUGCUGUGCUGAGCUGAGCUGAGCUGAGCUGAGCUGAGCUGUGCUGAGCUGAGCUGAGCUGUGCUGUGCUGACCUGUGCUAUCUGUGCUGGUCUCUGCUGUGCUGAGCUGAGCUGAGCUGAGCUGAGCUGUGCUGGUCUGUGCUGUGCUGUGCUGUGCUGAGCUGUGCUGCGCUGGUCUGUGCUGUGCUAUCUGUGCUGUGCUGUGCUGUGCUGUGCUGUGCUGUGCUGUGCUGUGCUGUGCUGAGCUGAGCUGAGCUGUGCUGUGCUGUGCUGUGCUGAGCUGAGCUGUGCUGUGCUAUCUGUGCUGUGCCGGUCUGUGCUGUGCUAUCUGUGCCGGUCUGGGCUGUCUGUGUGCGAGCGGCUGGCGGGAGCGGAGCCGGCUCCAUCCUGCUCGCCGGGCAGCGCCGUGUGCCGGCAGGGGCCGGAGGAAGGCACGGGCAGCCGGAGCUCUCCGGAGCUCUCCGGCCGCAGCAGGGACCCCAUCAGCCGGACUUGGCACGGCUCCGCAUCCUGUCCUGUCCUGCCCUGAGCACCGCGCCAGGGCCGGGGCCGUGCGGGGAGGCACAUGGGCAGCCCUGGCACCCCUGUGCCACACCACGACCCUCGCUCACCUUCCCGCUCUUCAUCCCUCCCCUCUGCAAAGCUGUCUGCAAAUGCCAACUGCCUGUUUUCCAGUUCCUCCAGAUUUACCCCCUCCUCCUCCUCCCGUCCCCCCCCCCCCCCCCCUCCUUCCUUUCUUCUUCCUGGGUUAAAAAUAAUCAAGUUUCUGGGAAGCAGCAGCCCUGCUGCGCCUGCCUCCCUGCACUCGCGCCCCGGAGAAUAGCUCGGCUCGGCUCGCUCCGGCCCCUCCUCGCUGCUCUCUCCUUCCUCCUCCCCAC
rnacentral:lncRNA from 1 species